UACGAAGGGUGCAAACGUUGCUCGGAAUUAUUGGGCGUAAAGCGCACGUAGGAGGCUUAGCAAGUCGGAUGUGAAAUCCCUCGGCUCAACCAAGGAAGUGCAUCCGAAACUGCUGAGCUUGAGUACGAAAGAGGAUCGCGGAAUUCCCGGUGUAGAGGUGAAAUUCGUAGAUAUCCGGAGGAACACCGGCGGCGAAGGCGGCAUCCUGGACUGGUCCUGACACUCAUGAGCGAAAGCGUGGGGAGCGAUCCGG
rnacentral:rRNA from 1 species